rnacentral:lncRNA from 1 species
UUAAAUUGAUGUGAAAUUUAUGUAUAAAGGUAAUAGAUUUAAUUUCCUAAAUAUAAGUAAAAUUUGAAAACGAUUCAAUGGAGUGAGAAGGAAAUAUUCGUGCUUGAAGACGAACAUUAAGGUUGAAGAAGGAGGCCAACCGACAUCCAAGUGGAUUUUGAUACUUUUCUUCUAUUUAAUAAGUUUGAUUCUAUUCAAAUUUUUUAUGCUUAUUUCUAAUUUAAUUUUUGAGAAGUAUGCAAAAUUUUAAAGAAGAUUAAUAAUUUAAUCAAUAGAUAUUGAGGUUCUAAACUAUGCUAGGAUUAAAUUGAGUUGGUUAGAUUUUGGUUAGGAUUUGAUUUAGGAUUAAGAUUUGAUUAGAAUUUAGGAUUUGAUUAAGAUUUGGUUAAGAUUUAAGAUUGAACUAAGAUUUACGGUUUGAUUUAGGAUUUAGGAUUUAGGAUUUUUUUAGGAUUUAAGAUUUAUAAUUUGCUAAGGAUUUAAGGUUCAGAUUUUGUUUAAGAUUUAGGAUUUGGCCUAAGGUUUGAUUGCAGUCCAUUAAGAUUUUAACUAGAGGUUAAAUUAAGACUUGGUUGAGAUUUAUUUAAGAUAUAUUUUUAAUUAUUUU